rnacentral:rRNA from 1 species
UACGGAGGGUGCGAGCGUUGUCCGGAAUCACUGGGCGUAAAGCGUCUGUAGGUGGUUUAAAAAGUCCACUGUUAAAGAUUGAAGCUUAACUUCAAAAAUGCCGUGGAAACUUUUAAACUUGAGUAUGAUAGGGGUAGAGGGAAUUUCCAGUGGAGCGGUGAAAUGCGUAGAUAUUGGAAAGACCACCAAUGGCGAAAGGCACUCUACUGGGCCAUUACUGACACUGAGAGACGAAAGCUAGGGGAGCAAAUGGG